UCCAGCGUGGAUGACAGAGCAAGAUUUUGCCUCAAAUAAAUAAUAAACAAACAAACAAAAUGACAAACUGGACAUAGGGGAAAUCGCUGGCUUUGGUAAGGUCAAGCUGAAGAAAAGAGAGACUCAGGAGAACACUCGGCCGACCAGAGACCACUGAGCGGAAGUAGAGUGAAACUUCCUAAGAGCCUGGAAGGUACCCCCUGUCCUCCUCGAGCCUGCAGUGCUGAUGUGGAGGAAGAGCCACCCACAAGAUGCGCCUGAGCCACAAGCCACACCGUGAACCCAGGGCAGCUACGACAGUGCCUGGUGCUUGGGGAGUGCUUGACAGAUUCAGGUUGAAGAAACAAAGGCAGGUACAGGCAAGGAAGGGAAUGAGGGGACCGAGGAAGGUCGGAAUGGCCCUGCUGGUCAUCAGGACUUGUGGACCCACUGCCGCCUGCCCUACUAUCCCCCACAUCGUCCAUCCCCCAGGCUCCAACAUGGCCCAGUGGGGUCCCAGACACAUUCGGGGGGCGGGCAGUGGGCGGCGUUUCAGUCUGGGAGGAGGCCUUUUCCCAGGCCCUGUGGACCUCCCCACCGGCGGGAAGCGAUCUUGCCAGGUGAUCCUACCGGAUCGCAUCUGCAGAACUACAACUGAGCCGCUCUCUCGGGUGAUUUGUGUCUCAAAACCACGCCAAGGCUGUAAAUCAGGUGGUAGGAAGCUCUGUCUCCUGUUUUCCUGCUCAGCCAGACGGAGACAGAAUGUACUGCCACCGGCUCCCAAAUCUGGAAAACCAAGUCUGAUUUAAGAGGAGAUGUUUUAGCAGACAUUAGCUCAGGUCAGGGCUGGGGAGCAGGGUCUCUUGCCUCUCCCUUCCUGCUCCGAAGGAGAAGGAAACAGCCACCUCCUCCCCAGCUGGGGGCUGAGUGGGUGGAGAACCUGAAAGGCAGGUGCCUAACAAGCCCUGGGGUUCGGUAGCAGCUGCUUAGAGCUCCUCCCCGGGAGGCUCCGGAGGGGAAUUUUCCACUGCCCCGUUCAAUUUACCAGGACAAUUUAGCUCAGCUAUACCGCGGCCUUGACUAUUUACAGUGGGGAGCGCAGGGCGGUGGAGGAGCCCUCUAAGAGUCCGUGCAAGAGGGCCGCGGCCCAGCUAGAAGGGUCUGCAGGGGGCAAGGUGUGGCGGAGCGGGCUUCAGGCGCAGGUUUUGCUUGCUUUCACCACGCCCCAGGUCUAGCUCACGGCCUGCACCUGGGAUGUUGGGGCUGUGCAGAGGCGCCGUGGGUGGGGACCAGGCCCCCUUUUAGAUAGGGAGGGGAGGAGCAGGGCCCCGGCUGCGGGGAGUUGGGAGAGAAGCCAAAGCGUCUCCCCCCUCCCUCUGUUCCUGCUUUCUCAGGAUGUCUGAGAUGCCCAGCGUGGGUGAGUGCACCCUCCCUCCCUGGCUCUGCUCCUCCCCCUCCCCGGAACCACCACCCCCUCAGCCCUGAGCUGCCGAUGCCCUCGGGGUUCUGUUUUCAUUCCAGGCUGUGGAUCCGGUCGUGGGAAGCAGAGUGAACUUCUAGGUUCUGAGCUGACUCCUUGGAAACCCUAGACUCCAGGGACGCGCUUCUAGAACCUGCUCAGAUUGCUACUCAGUUAACAGCCUGGCCCAGGAGGAUUGCAACACCCAGCCUGGCUCCCAGGCAAGCUAAAGAGGGCUUGAUGAUGGGAAGAGGUUAAGGGGUACGUGGAGAGAAAGAAGGAUCAGAAGGCGGAAACAUCAUAGACCUCCUGGGAUGCCUUCUGCAGGAUCACAGAGAAGGCAAAAUUUGUCCUCCUGACUACAAGAUGCCAAGAUACAUUUGUAUCGAGCCACUGAAUUCUCUACCCCUUCUGUAGAGGUGGUUGGGGAAGAGCUGCAGUAGGAAGCUGGGUCCCAAGUAAUGAAGGACCUUUAGAAGCAGAAGGUGUUAGGGUGGGGGCAAAGGACUGAACUCUGACCAACCAGAAGAAAGGAAAAACUGGAGUUCCUUUCCCCUAGGUCUGCCUUUCUUUCUCAGGGUCUCUAUUUACUUCUCAUGCACUUGACUCUCUGCUUCCCUCUCCCUCAUUUCCACAAAGGGGCCCAAGCUUCACAUGCAUCUCGCACCCCCGCACCUUGUGGGCAGGAAAUCUGAGCACAGGCAUUUCCUGUACGCUGAUAAAUGCCCACUGCAAAGAGCCCCAGCCUGAAGGUGGCCCUGUCUCCUAGUUAUGUCCCUCCACAUCCUUAUCUCCCCAGGCUCCAGCCCUCACCAGCAGGGACUCAACAAACGCCAUCUGUCAGAUGAGUCAUGGGACCAGAAGCUUGGGAGAAGACAUGCAGAGCCAACCACUAACAAAACUGGCAAAUGAAAUAAAUGCCCAGAAACCUGCUCCAUCCCCAGCAUUCCUUAAGUCCUAUAAAUUGCACCACCUUUUACCAGUUUUCAGAAACUAAAAGUCAUCCUUGACAUCCGUCCAAUCAAUCACCUCCUAUUUAUCUCCCAAAUUCAUUCUUUUUUCUUUUUGAAACAGAGUUUUUACUCUUGUUGCCCAGGCUGAAGUG
rnacentral:lncRNA from 1 species